rnacentral:rRNA from 1 species
GUCCAGACUCCUACGGGAGGCAGCAGUGGGGAAUAUUGCACAAUGGGGGGAACCCUGAUGCAGCGACGCCGCGUGAGUGAAGAAGUAUUUCGGUAUGUAAAGCUCUAUCGGCAGGGAAGAAAAUGACGGUACCUGACUAAGAAGCCCCGGCUAACUACGUGCCAGCAGCCGCGGUAAUACGUAGGGGGCAAGCGUUAUCCGGAUUUACUGGGUGUAAAGGGAGCGUAGACGGCAGAGCAAGUCUGAAGUGAAAGCCCGUGGCCCAACUGCGGGACUGCUUUGGAAACUGCCCGGCUAGAGUGCUGGAGAGGUAAGCGGAAUUCCUAGUGUAGCGGUGAAAUGCGUAGAUAUUAGGAGGAACACCAGUGGCGAAGGCGGCUUGCUGGACGAAAACUGACGUUGAGGCUCGAAAGCGUGGGGAGCAAACAGGAUUAGAUACCCCCGUA